UACGUAGGGUCCGAGCAUUGUCCGGAAUUAUUGGGCGUAAAGGGCUCGUAGGCGGUUUGUCGCGUCGGGAGUGAAGACUCAGGGCUCAACCCUGAGCGUGCUUCUGAUACGGGCAGACUAGAGGUAUGCAGGGGAGAACGGAAUUCCUGGUGUAGCGGUGGAAUGCGCAGAUAUCAGGAGGAACACCGAUGGCGAAGGCAGAUCUCUGGGCCGUAACUGACGCUGAGGAGCGAAAGCAUGGGGAGCGAACAGG
rnacentral:rRNA from 1 species